rnacentral:rRNA from 1 species
AGUGGCGAACGGGUGAGUAAUAUAUCGGAACGUAUCCAAUAAUGGGGGAUAACGAGUCGAAAGAUUCGCUAAUACCGCAUACGCCCUGAGGGGGAAAGCUGGGGAUCUUCGGACCUAGCGUUAAUGGAGCGGCCGAUAUCGGAUUAGCUAGUUGGUGGGGUAAAGGCCUACCAAGGCGACGAUCCGUAGCUGGUCUGAGAGGACGACCAGCCACACUGGAACUGAGACACGGUCCAGACUCCUACGGGAGGCAGCAGUGGGGAAUUUUGGACAAUGGGCGCAAGCCUGAUCCAGCCAUUCCGCGUGAGUGAAGAAGGCCUUCGGGUUGUAAAGCUCUUUCGCAAGGGAAGAAACGAUUUAGGUGAAUAAUCUAAGUUAAUGACGGUACCUUGAUAAGAAGCACCGGCUAACUACGUGCCAGCAGCCGCGGUAAUACGUAGGGUGCGAGCGUUAAUCGGAAUUACUGGGCGUAAAGCGUGCGCAGGCUGUUUUGUAAGUCAGAUGUGAAAUCCCUGGGCUCAACCUAGGAACUGCGUUUGAAACUACAAGACUAGAAUAUGUCAGAGGGGGGUAGAAUUCCACGUGUAGCAGUGAAAUGCGUAGAGAUGUGGAGGAAUAUCAAUGGCGAAGGCAGCCCCCUGGGAUAAUAUUGACGCUCAUGCACGAAAGCGUGGGGAGCAAACAGGAUUAGAUACCCUGG